GACGAACGCUGGCGGCGUGCUUAACACAUGCAAGUCGAACGGAAAGGCCCUGCUUUUGUGGGGUGCUCGAGUGGCGAACGGGUGAGUAACACGUGAGUAACCUGCCCUUGACUUUGGGAUAACUUCAGGAAACUGGGGCUAAUACCGGAUAGGAGCUCCUGCUGCAUGGUGGGGGUUGGAAAGUUUCGGCGGUUGGGGAUGGACUCGCGGCUUACCAGCUUGUUGGUGGGGUAGUGGCUUACAAGGCUUUGACGGGUAGCCGGCCUGAGAGGGUGACCGGCCACAUUGGGACUGAGAUACGGCCCAGACUCCUACGGGAGGCAGCAGUGGGGAAUAUUGCACAAUGGGCGGAAGCCUGAUGCAGCAACGCCGCGUGCGGGAUGACGGCCUUCGGGUUGUAAACCGCUUUCGCCUGUGACGAAGCGUGAGUGACGGUAAUGGGUAAAGAAGCACCGGCUAACUACGUG
rnacentral:rRNA from 1 species